AGUGAACGCUGGCGGUAGGCCUAACACAUGCAAGUCGAACGGCAGCACAGUAAGCGCUUGCUCUUACGGGUGGCGAGUGGCGGACGGGUGAGGCAUACAUCGGAAUCUACUUUUUCGUGGGGGAUAACGUAGGGAAACUUACGCUAAUACCGCAUACGACCUACGGGUGAAAGCAGGGGAUCUUCGGACCUUGCGCGAUUGAAUGAGCCGAUGUCGGAUUAGCUAGUUGGCGGGGUAAAGGCCCACCAAGGCGACGAUCCGUAGCUGGUCUGAGAGGAUGAUCAGCCACACUGGAACUGAGACACGGUCCAGACUCCUACGGGAGGCAGCAGUGGGGAAUAUUGGACAAUGGGCGCAAGCCUGAUCCAGCCAUACCGCGUGAGUGAAGAAGGCCUUCGGGUUGUAAAGCCCUGUUGUUGGGAAAGAAAAGCAGCAGGUUAAUACCCCGCUGUUCUGACGGUACCCAAAGAAUAAGCACCGGCUAACUUCGUG
rnacentral:rRNA from 1 species